rnacentral:misc_RNA from 1 species
AACGCAAAUUGCACUCUUCGGUCUUCCGGGGAGUAUGCCUGUUUGAGGGUCGGUAAAAUGAAAUAUCGAUUUGUUGCUUAUUGCAACAUUUCGGAAUUGGGUUAACUUUGAUAUUAAGUGACUUAAAAUUCAUUACCUCGGUACGAUUAACGUUCUUAAAUGAUUUCGUUUUGAAUGCCGAAUUUUUUAUUAGACGUGACUAUUUAACAUAGCAUCACUUCUAUAAUUUUGAAUUUCGACCUCAAAUCAGGUAAGAAUACCCGCUGAACUUAA